GCAAUAGUGGUUUAGUGGUAAAAUCCAUCGUUGCCAUCGAUGGGCCCCGUGUUCGAUUCACGGCUAUUGCA
rnacentral:tRNA from 1 species